ACCAGUGUGGCGUAGUGGUUUGAGCAUUGGACUUUGACUCUGGAGACCAGGGUUCGAAUCCCAGCUCAGCCA
rnacentral:tRNA from 1 species